rnacentral:tRNA from 4 species
GGAGGGAUACCCAAGUGGCUAAAGGGGGCAGACUGUAAAUCUGUUGGCAUUGCCUUCGAUGGUUCGAAUCCAUCUCCCUCCACCA